GAUGAACGCUAGCGAUAGGCCUAACACAUGCAAGUCGAGGGGCAGCACAUGAGGUAGCAAUACCGAUGGUGGCGACCGGCGCACGGGUGAGUAACACGUAUGCAACCUGCCUUCAACAAGGGCAUAACCCGUUGAAAAACGGACUAAUACCCUAUAAUACAGGGGUCCCGCAUGGGGAUAUUUGUUAAAGAUUGAUCGGUUGAAGAUGGGCAUGCGUUCCAUUAGCUGGUUGGUGAGGUAACGGCUCACCAAGGCAACGAUGGAUAGGGGAACUGAGAGGUUUAUCCCCCACACUGGUACUGAGACACGGACCAGACUCCUACGGGAGGCAGCAGUGAGGAAUAUUGGUCAAUGGACGCAAGUCUGAACCAGCCACGUCGCGUGAAGGAAGACGGCCCUACGGGUUGUAAACUUCUUUUGUAAGGGAAUAAAGUGUAGUACGCGUACUAUUUUGCAUGUACCUUACGAAUAAGGAUCGGCUAACUCCGUGCCAGCAGCC
rnacentral:rRNA from 1 species